rnacentral:rRNA from 1 species
UGGGGAAUAUUGCACAAUGGGCGCAAGCCUGAUGCAGCCAUGCCGCGUGUGUGAAGAAGGCCUUCGGGUUGUAAAGCACUUUCAGCGAGGAGGAAGGGUGGUGUGUUAAUAGCGCAUCACAUUGACGUUACUCGCAGAAGAAGCACCGGCUAACUCCGUGCCAGCAGCCGCGGUAAUACGGAGGGUGCAAGCGUUAAUCGGAAUUACUGGGCGUAAAGCGCACGCAGGCGGUUUGUUAAGUCAGAUGUGAAAUCCCCGCGCUUAACGUGGGAACUGCAUUUGAAACUGGCAAGCUAGAGUCUUGUAGAGGGGGGUAGAAUUCCAGGUGUAGCGGUGAAAUGCGUAGAGAUCUGGAGGAAUACCGGUGGCGAAGGCAGCCCCCUGGACAAAGACUGACGCUCAGGUGCGAAAGCGUGGGGAGCAAACA